ensembl:lncRNA
AUGUCUGUUUUUUCUGGCCCUUUCUUCAAAGACAGUUGCAGUGCACUGUUGCUCUCUGAGGGCCCUGGAGAGAAAGCUCUCUGUUUCCUGAGCAGCGUUCUCCUGUGGUGUCCCUUCCACUCAGAGACUCGGGUACAAAAACGUGCAUUUCACAAGAGGCUCAAGUGCAAAAACCUACGUUUCACAAGAGGCUCAGGUACAGAAACGUUCAUUUCACAAGAGGCUCAAGUACAAAAAUGUUCAUUUCACAAGAGGCUCAAGUACAAAAACGUUCAUUUCACAAGAGGCUCAAGUACAAAAACGUGCAUCUCACAAGAGGCUCAAGUGCAAAAACCUACGUUUCACAAGAGGCUCAGGUACAGAAACGUUCAUUUCACAAGAGGCUCAAGUACAAAAACGUUCAUUUCACAAGAGGCUCAAGUACAAAAACGUGCAUCUCACAAGAGGCUCAAGUGCAAAAACCUACGUUUCACAAGAGGCUCAGGUACAGAAACGUUCAUUUCACAAGAGGCUCAAGUACAAAAAUGUUCAUUUCACAAGAGGCUCAAGUACAAAAACGUUCAUUUCACAAGAGGCUCAAGUACAAAAACGUGCAUCUCACAAGAGGCUCAAGUGCAAAAACCUACAUUUCACAAGAGGCUCAGGUACAGAAACGUUCAUUUCACAAGAGGCUCAAGUACAAAAACGUUCAUUUCACAAGAGACUCAAGUACAAAAACACACAUUUCACAAGAGACUCAGGUACAAAAACGUUCGUUUCACAAGAGGCUCAUGUACAAAAGCACAUUUCACAAGAGGUGAACAGAGGCUGAAGGACCCCCUCUCUGCUAUCAGUGCAUCUUCAAAUUGCCACCUCUCCCAGUGCAUUUCAGAGACUCAGAUAUAUAAUCAUUCUACAUACAUACAACUUCCUAUCUCCUCUACUGCAAAAAUCACAAAGCCCUUCUGUUUGCUGUUGGAACCUAAUUUAAGUGUUUAUGAGGCUUUGAUGAAUACCAGCCAUAAAGCAUGCCUUUCCUGGGACUUCCCUGGUGAUCCAGAAAUAAAAAUAAAUAUCUUUAAAAAAAUUUUAAAAGCAUGCCUUUCCUCUUGGUCAGAAAUUAUCAAAUGCAUUUCUUCUUUUUUUAAUUGA